GACGAACGCUGGCGGCGUGCUUAACACAUGCAAGUCGAGCGGUAAGGCCGUUCGGUGCUCUCGUGCGGCAAACGGGAGCGUAACACGUGAGUAACCUCCCCCUGACUUUGAGUUAACCCUAAGCACUGGGGGCUACUACUGGUACCGACAACGCUCCGCAUAGGCAUCGUGUGGAAAGUUUGUCGGCUUGGGUUGGGCCCGCGCCCUAUCAGCUUGUUGGUGUGGUGAUGGCAUACCAUGGCGACGACGGGUAGCCGGCCUGAGAGGGUGACCGGCCACACUGGGACUGAGACACGGCCCAGACUCCUACGGGAGGCAGCAGUGGGGAAUAUUGCACAAUGGGCGGAAGCCUGAUGCAGCAACGCCGCGUGAGGGAUGACGGCCUUCGGGUUGUAAACCUCUUUCAGCAGGGACGAAGCGAAAGUGACGGUACCUGCAGAAAAAGCGCCGGCCAACUACGUG
rnacentral:rRNA from 1 species